rnacentral:rRNA from 1 species
UACGGAGGGUGCAAGCGUUAAUCGGAAUUACUGGGCGUAAAGCGCACGCAGGUGGCUGAGUCAGUCGAUUGUGAAAGCCCUGGGCUUAACCUGGGAAUUGCAGUCGAUACUACUCAGCUAGAGUAUGGGAGAGGGCAGUGGAAUCCCGGUGUAGCGGUGAAAUGCGUAGAUAUCGGGAGGAACAUCAGUGGCGAAGGCGGCUGCCUGGCCCAAUCUG